UCUGCUGUUUUGGCACACGCUUUGCAUGCAGAGGAGAUGCAGAUGGCGAAGAAGGAAAGAGUGAAAGCCAAAACCGACAAGGAGUGACAGCUGGCGGUAGUGCAAGCCGUGUCGAGGCCGGGGGGCUAUCCUGCGCAGCGAAUCCAGCAGUGGAAAGCGGGAAGAUGGAAAAGAAAAGGAGGAAGAUAUCCGAACGAAACUGAAAGAAACUCUGAAAGAUGGGGUUGUCGGAUCUGCAAGACUGAUGAACAUGAGAUAUCGAAUUGUACCAGAUACAGACUGUGCAAAAAGGACAGUCAUUGGGCGAAGGAUUGCCCGGAGAACCGGCGAAAUCAACAAGCAUACUGAAGCGAGGGAGACGGAGAGCAGAGAGGAGGGGUCCUGGGCGAGCAACCAACAGUCACAAGUCAGGGAAGUGAAAAUGUUCUAACCGCAAACACAUACACAUACACUGAUGUACUUUCUGCUCUCUGCAAUGAAGAUAACGCUUGCUUUCCUUUGAGUAUGUCUGAUUCUAUUGAUAAGCAUACUGACAAAUGUGCUAUUAUGUUUAAAAUUGAAGCUUUUAUGAAAAUGCCUAAAUAUCCUAUGCUAGUAGAGGGGAUAUUGAUUGAGUUUUUAGCUGAUAUAAUAUAUACAGCCAUGUGAUCUGCAAUGCCAACCACAAUUAACAAGCGAAAUUAAUGAGUCAAUUUCUGCAUCAGGGCACGUAAUUUGUGAAAGGUUCACAGUGCCUCUGAACUGUGAAACAAAAGGGGGUGAGGUGCUGAGGCAUGCUUUUCUCUAAAAACUGUGUUUAUGCCAAAGACUGGAGACAGAUAGGGGAGGGGGUGAAACACAGUGAGAGUCUGGGAGCGUUUAUGACUGAGUGCAAGCAUGACAUUGAAACAGAGAGAGUUGUGGUACUCAUUGACAAAAGUCAGAGGGGGGUCAUUGCAUGGCAAUCGUUUGCGCCUCAGAAAUACAUCCAGCAUUAACAAAAGUGCCAUCAGAGUUAUGGGCAAAACACAAAUAUGAUGUGGGUUUGAUUAAAGGAUGUGAACCAGUUGUGGUUACCCCAAAAUCUGAUUACAGACCAUGUCAACGUCAAUACCUUCUAAAACAAGAGGCAAUUCUUGGUAUAGAACCGGUAUUUGAGUCACUAUUAAAGGAGGGAAUAAUGGUACCAUGCAAUGAUUCCCCAGUUCGCACUCCAAUUUUUCCUGUAAAAAAGAUAAGGAAUGUGGGUCAGCCCACAGAGUGGCGAUUUGUACAAGAUUUACAGGCGGUGAACGCUGCUUUCAUGCAAAGGGCUCCAUCAGUACCAAAUCUGUACACAAUUUUAUCACAAAUACCACAAGAUGCAACAUUCUUCUCAGUGGUAGAUUUGGCAAAUGCAUUUUUUAGUGUGCCAGUUGAUAAAGACAUCCAAUUCUGAUUUGCAUUUGAAUUUGAGGGCAAAGGUUACAACGAAGCCCUAAGAAGGAGUUUGGAAGCUUUGACCCUGACAGCAGGUACAGCUUUGUUACAGUAUGUGGAUGAUCUUUGCUUGUGUGCUCUUGAUGAGCUUAAAUGUGUAAACUGCAGUUCGUAAAACAACAGAUUACAUUCCUGGGGUACCUAAUAACACCAAAUAGCAAAUCACUGUCUGAAAAAGGGGUUAAAGCUAUAAAAGAGGCCCCAAAACCAGUAACAAAGAAACAAAUGCUUAAUUUUUGGGGAUGUGUUCCUAAUGAAGAACAUGUAUUCCAAAUUAUAACAUUUUUGAGCUGCCCCUGAGAACCCUGAGAGGGAAGGGGUUGAAUUUAUGUGACAGGAUUGAGUGGACAGAGAAAGUGGAAGAGGCAUUUCUGAACAUGAAAGUUCAGCUGUCUGUUGCGCCAACUCUGGGCUUGCAGGCCCCAAAUAAACCCUUUGUUCAGAUGGUUGAUGAGAAAAAUGUAUUUAUGACUUCUGUAUUGUUGCAGCAUCAUGGAGACAGAUUGAGACCCGUGGCAUAUUUUUCCAGCAAACUGGACCCAGUUGCAGCCGGUCUGCCACACUGUCUGAGGGCCGUGGCAGCUGCUGAGAUGGCCGUGAUGGCUUCUAGAGAAUUCAGGAGGAUGGGGAGGAGCAUCAUUGUUGUUUAACAGCAAUCGAACAAGUGUGUACACCACGUCCAGACCUGUCUGACGUGCCACUCGAAAAUUGUGAAAAUGUCCUCUUUGUGGAUGGCUCAGCUUUUAAAGAUCCACAAACAGGCCUGAAUAAGGUUGGUAAUGCAAUAACAACUGAAUUUGACAUUGUGGCCUCUGGCUCAUUGCCAUCAAAUUAUUCAGCACAAGCAGCUAAGCUUUUGGCAUUAACAGAAAUAUGCAAACUAAUGACAGACAAAUGCGUAACGAUUUACACAGAUUCACGAUAUGCAUUCGGGGUUACUCAUGAUUUUGGGGCGCUGUGGAAACAGAAAGUUUUUAAAGUCAGAUGGGCGACCAAUAUUAAAUGCACCCCUUGUGGCAGAUUUGUUAGUCACUAUUUUGCUGCCAGAAAAGAUAGCGAUUUGUAAAUGCGCAAAAUCAUCAGAGUGUACUUUGUUAUCUGAAAAUAACCCUGACAUUUCUUCAUCUUUACAGGGCAUGCAGACAUUUGCGACAGGGCAGGAGAGAGAGAAAUGGAAACAGUGUGGCUGUGAAGUGGUGAAUGGAGUAUGGAUGAGCAGAUAUGGCAAGCCUUGUUUACCUAAAACACUUCUUUCCUCACUAUGCUAAGUCGAUGCAUGGGAAAGACCACGCAUCGAAAGGGGGAAUGAUUAUGCAAAUUAAAGAAUUGUGGUUUACAAAAGGGUCCAAAAUUUAUGCAGAAAAUUUUUGAAAAAGAUGUGUCAUUUGUAAUACACAUAAUGUGGCAAGAGGCAUAAAAAUGUCUCACGUAUUCCAGCAAGCCCUUUGAAUAUUUACAGAUGGAUUUCAUUGAACUGUUCCCAUGUGAAGGGAAGGGAAAAUGGUUUGGUAUUUGUGGACAUGUGGUCCAAAUGGGUAGUGGUCUGCCCAAUGUCCAAACAGGAUGCAGCAGCAGUAGUAAGGGCUCUCCUGACUGAAAUAGCCCCGAGAUGGGGAAAUUCCACGAAAAAGCAGUUCAGACAAUGAAACACAUUUUGUGUAGGGGCAAUAAAAAUCUAAUUGGCUAAGUGUUGUGAGAAAACUGGACUCACAUGGGUUAAGGUGCUCCCAAUCGUUCUCAUGUACAUGAGAAUGAGAAAUCGAUCCAGAGUAAACCUGAGCCCUUUUGAAAUUCUCUUUGGCAACCCACCAUUUGUGAGUAUUGAAAGUGGGUAAACAAAAGCUACCAUCUACAGGUGUGUGAGCAUGACAUGUUGAGUUAUUGCAAGGAAAUGUCUUCUCUGUUGUCUAAUGUCUGUGUUCAGGUGAAAGUUGCUCAGGAGAAGGUUGCUGAAACACCAUUGCACAACCUGAAACCAGGGGAUUUCGUGGUGGUAUGAGAUCUGAGGAGAAAGUGGCUGGGACCGUUCCAGGUGCUUCUGACCACUCACACGGCUGUGAAGGGAGCAGAGAGAGCAACGUGGUUCCAGGCUAGCCACUGCAGAAAGGUCCCACCUGCAUCCGAGGAAGAGGAGCUGAGGGAGUAAGGAUCUGGAGACACACACGUCAACAAGACCGGAAUCCAGCCUAAACAUCAAGAGUCCUUAUCAGCGGGAAGAGCAAGGUUAAGACUGAAAAACAGCAUCGAAGAAGUCUGUGCGCAAGUGAAAAGAUAACUAUGAGCAUCAUAGUUGAGUACAUCAUGUUGUUUUCAUAUUCCAGACUACAGUGACAAUGUUAUCAAUAUCAUCACACACAUGAGAAUGGCCGUAAAAGAGCCUGAACGUACACAUAAUGCUGCUAAAUGAUUUUUGCUGCUAUUAUGUCUACUAUGUAUUUUUUUAGUUGAUAUCCAGCUCAGUACAGAGACUGAAGUUUAACAUUUAACAUCAAAUGGUUCAAAUGAUGCGUACAAUGAAGACAUUAUGAUGGAUUUGAACAGGGAGAAAGUAAUUGAUGAAGGGACAAACAGUAGUGGAAGCUACAGUGAAAUGUGUUAAAUGUAUGAGAUUUAUGAGAUUAUUUUCUUUGAAGUAAGUAAUGUUCAGGCCUAUCUGAAUCUAUACUGUUUGCUUGCUUGAAAUAGGGUCUGUCCCCAUAUAAAAAGCCUUAGCAUAUUUUCUAACUUCUUUUACAAACUUAAGAGGGUGAUCAUUUAUGAGAAAACGAGGGAUGAAGAGGAUAAAUGUGAUGAAAUACCUUAAGUUUGCUUUAUUUUGAAUCAUGAUUGUAUUUCUGAGUGUGAAUUUUUUGAUUUUGGAUUGUGUUUGUAUCUGCGACGUGACUGGGGGUCUGACUAAAUGUCAGGAAUGCAGUAGCAGUGACUUACUCGUUUAGCCCGGCGCCCAGAGCAAACAUAAUGUUAAGUGUGUAGUGAAAAUAUAACCAGUAGAAAUGAAUUUUUAUGUUUUAUUGAUCAAUGAAUGAUAAAAAAGGGGAAAUUGUGGUGGAAAAAUUCAUGUAACAUUGCUUCUGUAUACCUAUAUAAGCAUGUGGUUUCUUUGAAUUGCUGUGUGGGUUCAGAGGGAUAACACCUGGGGGAAAACAGAUGUCUGAGUAUGACCUGAGAGGGUCAUUGGGCCAUAUAGUGGGGGGACAAUGCCUGAGGAUGACCCGAGGGGGUCACCUAAGUCCUAAAUGUGUGAGAAACAGCCCAUAGAGAGUGUUCCUUGUUAUGUGUGGAAAUUUACAGCUGUUCAGACUCUGUAACCUUGAAGCAGCUGAGGUAUAUAAGGUGGACGACUGCACUCUUCCUGGGUCGGUUUCACUCUGCAGGAACUCAGUGUUGCUGUAUGACUGUAUGACUGUCUGACCUUCUUUGCAAAGAAUAAAAGCUUUCUUUUUAAUUA